UAAAGUUUAAUUAAACAAGUAUUGUUGAUCAAAUUAAGUUGACAUGAAUGAAUGAUCUUAUUUAUGUUAUGACAGACAUUAAGUAGCUAUUCCUAUUCAGCGUGCGUACGAGGGAAGUACUGAAAAUACAACAGGUAGAGGCAAGCAUGUUUUAUUUUAAGUAAUUAAUUCUUUAAACACAUAAAUUAAAACCCAAUUAAUUGAGCUUCAAAAGCUGAUGAUGAUCUUAGUACAAGUACAAGCUAAAGUUAAUUACAAGCCAAUUUGAUGAUCAUUUUGCUCCCUUCCCUGCCACUCAUUUUGCUCCAUCUCGAACGAAUAUGUUUCUCUCGUUGAGCUGUUUUUCUCCCUUUAACCAAUAAUAUUUCAACGCAUAAAAACAAAUCAAUCGCCAUUUCUCAUCACAUCAGCUGAACUCAACACUUGAGACUCUUCUUCUUUUUCUUCUUUGUUUUCCCUCGCCGGAAUCUGUAUACAAGCCGCCGCCGGUGGUUCAACUAAUUUGAAGGAACCAAAUUUGGGAGUGAACUGAAGUGUAGAAGCUUGGGAAUUUGUGUCGAAAGUGAAUGAAAAGCUCGAAUUGCACGCCGAAUUGGAGCUAACUUCAAACUUCUCAAGAGCACUCGGACAAUUCUUCCUCCUCUUUGUCUGUCUAAACGCCUCGGCGUCGUUCUUCUCGGGCUUCUCUCCGCCGGUUUUGGUGGCGGAGAUCGGCGGAUCUUCGCCGGAAUCUGAGGUGUUGCCGGGAAUGGAGCACGUGACGACCAGGGUUUCUUCUGUCUUAACCUCCGCCAUCUUUGGUCAGGGCAGGGUCACGGGCAGAGGAAUAAAAAGGUCUACACACAGUUUGUGUGUGUAAACAAGAUUUUUAUAUAAGGUACGAUCAUAAUUACCAUCAAGUCCUUGGUUUAUUGUCCUGCUAAAAGUAAGAUACAUAAGAUAGGUUCGAGACCAAUUAAAAUUCACCGAUUGACCGAAUUCAGCAUGAACUAAAUAAGAAAGAAUCCUUCCAUACAUGCUUAAAAGAAUUUAAUUUCUCAACAAUUAGCCAAGUUCUACUUCCCUUGGUUUUAAAAUUAGAUUUCAAAUUGGAGAUAUGUUUUGAUUUUUUAAAUUAUUUUAUAAUUAAUAUAAUAAUUAUAAACUAACACGAAAUACUCAAAACUUAAUUGAUAAUUAAUCUUAUCAAUUUUUAACUUCAAAAAGUCAAAAUGUGCCACUUAAUAUUACUUGAAUAAAAUCACUAUUAACAGUCUGAAAUUUCCAUUAAACCUUUACAAAUAUCAUGUUCAAGAAACAUAAACUAUACACCUGUAUACAACUUUGAUAUAGAGAAGGGAAGAGGGGGAAGAAAUUACGGAAUUGAUCACAAGUAAGUGAGAUGGUGAAAAGGAUGGAGACUUGCCAAUCACUUUUCCAUCCAUGCUCCAAACUACUACUAAUCGACUUCCUAUGCGUAGUAAUUUUUGGCAAAAUAAUGUACACAUUUACUCGAUCGUACUAGAUACAUACAUGCUAUUAUGUUGUUUUUAAUAGUCCCAAACUUUUUCUUUAGAAUUCGCAAGAAGUUCCCAACCUUUGCUUCGAGAAUCCCAUGUUUUUUCUUCCGUCGAAUGCUUCAGGCAGAAGUUCUUCAAAACUCUCCAAGAACAACUCCCAUUCCUCCUCCUUCAUUUCCCCGAAAGAAAUUCCUCCACUUUCAUGGUUAUGAUUGUGAACUGCGAAGCUCAUGCUCCUUAAAAUCCCUCCUAUAUUUUGAUUACUGUCAGUACCACUACUGCUGUCAGCACCGCCAACGCUAUCCUCCAAGGCCUCAUUUGAAUCAUAAUCAUCAGUUUUGUUGUCAUGACAUUCAUCUUGCAACGAAGACAUCGAGUUAUGAAAUCUUCUUAUUAUCCUUUCAGAUGAAUAUCUUGGAAUUUUUGGCGGCUUAACUAUCCCUGGAGAGGUCUUUAAGAAUUGAGGAACACUGCAUACAUGAUUCAAGCCAUCUUCACAUUCAUAGUCAAAUUGAAACAUUCCCAUAUCUUCUUUUUCUUCAUUACCGGUAUCAGAAUCGUCCUCGCUUUUAGUGCUACUUAAGCCAGCC
rnacentral:lncRNA from 1 species